GUCCUCCUUAAUGGAGUUCCUGGCAGGAAAUUUCAGUGCAAGUGUGGGGUGCGUCAAGGUGAUCCUCUUUCGCCACUGAUCUUUGUUCUCGCCGCUGCUCUCCUUCAAGUUGCUGUUAAUGAUGCCUUUCAUCGACACCUGAUUGACCUUCCAAUUCCCUGCAACCACAAUGGUGAUUUUCCUGUGGUUCAAUACGCCGACGACACGAUCCUAGUGAUGUCUGCCUGCCCUGAACAAGCUGCUAUUAUGAAGCUUAUCCUGGAGGACUAUGCAGCCUCGGUCGGGCUGAAGAUCAACUUCCAUAAAUUUACGUUGAUUCCCAUCAACAUAGACAACCAGCGUACGGUGGAUCUGGCACGGAUUUUUGGCUGCACUGUUGGCUCGCUCCCAUUCACAUACCUAGGUCUGCCGAUGGGUACAACAAGACCGACUUUGCUUGAACUUAUGCCGCUUGUGCAUGGGGUGGAGAGGAAGAUGUCCACAGCACUGUCCCUCAUGUCGUCAGGCGUGGGAGACGUCACC
rnacentral:rRNA from 1 species